rnacentral:lncRNA from 1 species
CGCAUCUUCCGGGGCCACCACACACAGCGAACCGGGACGGGGCCGCGGGCGAGGGGGCUCAGCCUCGCCCCCUUGAUUUGGACGGGGUCGUGGCCUACCUCCACCACCGCCAGCCCGCCACCACGCCUUGCCGGCCGUCACAUCCGCUGCCCCGCCGCCGGUACUUGAGCCCAGCAGCGCCUCCCUCCCUGGAGGAGCCGCUCCUGCCCAGCAGCGCCUCCCUCCCUGGAGCAGCCGCUCCCGCCUAGCAACGCCGUUGCCCGAAGCUGCGCCGGCGACCCGUCCAUAGGCAGGUAGCGACCACUCCUCCCUCCUUCCUCCCUCCCUCCCUCUUUCCUCACCCCUCCCUGCUCCCUCUUGCAUCCUCUGUUUGUUCAAGUUUUUUUUCCUGAUUACUUGCUGUAGACUUAAUAUUGUGAGAAUAUAAUGAUGAUUCAUAGCCUAUUGAAACCAUGUGGAAGCAAAGAAAAGCAAGCGCCAUUGUACUACUACUACUACUACAUUCCAGCUAGCACAUCUAGCGCCAUGUGAAACAGCUUGUACUGUAACUGGAAAUUCAGAUUCAACGUAGCCAUUAAUUAAGGUCGUCCUGUGAAACCUGAAUCCCGAUCUUUAUGGGAUGGAUACACCGAUCCAACCCAUCCAAUUCGCCGCGGUUUGGUCUGUAGAAACUAGCAAUUACGAGUAGGUUUCGAAGAAUCCUUCUUGAUCUGACGAAGAAAGCACAGUUGGGUAAAGGGGACAGAGAUCCCCAACGUAGAACGGGUGCUGUAUAGGAGAAAUCUGCAAACAAAGAUCAGCAUGUAGUAAUCCAUUUGAUAUUGCUGCAGGUAUGACUCGGCUGCCAAGAAGAACCUGCGGUCUGGCUACUUCCUGUGGUCAGUGUAAGCCUACAGUACCGGUAAGGUCGAUUUAUGAUGCACCUCGGCUCUAUGCGAUAUUAAUAUAUUUUCUUUGUCGAAAAAUGAUGCACCUCGGCACGAGGACUACAAAAGUUCAUGUUGCAUCUCAUGAGCAGAGUAGUUGAUAUUUUCUCACCCCAUUCAAAAAGAAUGUGAGUUUCAUAUCAUCUGUUGUUCAACAUGCCGUUUAACUUUAGGUUGACACAACCAGGGCUUCUGGUCGAGUAUGUGGCACGGGGAACCUUAUGGACGGGCACAGCCAGCCCGCUCUGCUCUACAUGUCCCUUUCACCCUGGGUAAAAAAGAAACCAGCAUCACCAUCAGCAUAGCUAGGCAUGGUAGCUGAAUUGAUCAUUGGAUGAAGUAUUCAGUUUCAUUCUUAAGUGCUUGCCAUUUAUAGUAUAGUAGGCAUGAGAAGAGGUGAACCGAAUCGUCUAUAGAUAAAAGCUACGUUAUCUGAUUAGUUUAAUUAAAUGAAUUUCAUAUUGAUUUGCCUUUUGUUUGUUUACCAAAGGCGAUGGUAGCGGAGAAGUGGAAGAGCGCCAAUUAGGUCCUACUGUGGUAUGUGCCAAACUGAACCACCGUGUAUGCUUUCUUACAGGAAGUACUUGAUCAAUGGUACAAAAUAAAUUGCUUGAAUGGAUUUAUUAUGUAGAAUAAAAUAAGAAUAUUAGAAGUUUAAAGCUACCCUUCUGGUGGAUCGACUGAUAAAUCCAUAUAAUACUUUGAGAAAAAGUUAAAUCCUUAUAUGUUAUGUUCUUGCAGUCUAAUCUUUAAAUCCUCGGUUGUAUGGAAGUGAUAGUACAUUUCAGUUCUGUGUGUUGACCAUUGACAUGAUAGGUUGUUGAAUCCAUCGUGGUCCUGUCGCUUCUAUAGAACUAGAGUAUUCCCCUUCGUGCUGCAUUUUUCUUUUUGCGUGUCAAUUAUACAGCAUGAUGUGUAUGUGCCUAUUAUAUACUGUUGUUGCAGUGGGUGUCCUUUUUGUCUGUACAAGAGGAUUGUGAUGAUGCAAACUUCGCCACUCUGCUCCUUGUCUUGCGGUUCUGCGGGUCAAAGUUUUGAUUUUGUUACAACUUUCAAUGGACUGUUAUUAUAUCAUGUAUUGAGUUGGAUUCAACUUGCAAAUGCACCAGCAUAUCAACUGCAAGUAAAACCGAAUGGUUAGACUUAAAUUUGACUAAAAACUGCGGCAUCUAUCCAUCCAUCCAUCCCUUUUGGAUGUUCUGUGUAUUGUAUGACUGAAUACGCAGCAUUCUCUGUUAUUUUAUAUUUCUGAACCAACCUGUUUUUGUUAUGCGUGCACAAGUUCAGUUUUUCUCAAGUAAUAAUAAUAGCCGAAUGGUUUAGAGAUUUCACACCUACUUUUCUCAAAUAAGAUUGAUCCAAAGUCAUACUAGACAGUCAAUCUGUUGCCGCUAAUGUCUAAACUUUUAUCUUCAUGUUUGUUACUAGAGGAUGUACUAGGAAGGAUUGUUGUGUGUGCUAAAUAGUUUUGAUUCGUAUGAGGCAUGUCUGGCUCUACUAUUAUUGUACAGAAGUACAACAAAAAUAAUUAUUGGUUCUAACAAAAUUCAUUUCUGAUGUGAUUUUGUUGAUGCCAUUUACUCAUCAGUUUAUGAUAUCUCUACAGCAGCAGCACCAACUCGAUGCAUCCUUCUUCCUUCUCUCUCGGGAACGGCGCCCAGCAUCAAGGUUAAGGUCCCCCUUGUCCUCCAUGCCUUCCUCUACCUCGAUUCUCUAGGCUUGGCCUCAACUUGUUUGAUUUGCUGCUGGUCUGCAUUUUUCUCCUGAUGCGCUUGACUGAAUUUAGUUGAGUGCUACUGCUGUAAGAAUUGAGUUACUUGUUUCCACAACAGUUCUCUAGAAUUUAGAUGCACGCCUCUUGUAAUCUUGUUCAGUGCUACUCCUAUCAUAAAGCUUCCGAGAUGAACUCUGUUAUUCAUUCAGUAGUAUUCAUUCAGUUUGAUAAAAUCACUUCUACAUUGGAUGUGUGUGUGUUGCGGUAGCUAGGAUUGUUUGCACUGGUGGUAGUAUCAGUAGUAGUAGUAGUAGUUCAUGACAGGAGAAUGAUUUGUGCAUCCAUAAAAUUUAUUUUUGAUGUGAUUUUGCUGAUGCCAUAUACUAAGUUAUGCUAUCUCUGCAGCAGCACCAACUCGAUGAAGGGAGGGGAGGAUUGAGGGGCCAGCCGUCCGGGGCUUGCAAAUGCACCAGCAUAUCAACUGCAAGUAAAACCAAUCGUAUGCUUACACUUAAAAUUUUGUCUAAAAACCGUGGCAUCCAUCCAUCCAUCCCUUUUGGAUGUUCAGUGUAUUGUAUGACUGAAUAUGCAGCAUUAUCUGUUAUUAUCUAUUCUGAACCAACCUGUUUUUGUUACGCUCGCACAAGUUCAGUUUUUCUCAAGUAAUAAUAGCCUAAUGGUUUAGAGAUUUCACACCUACUUUUAAGUAAGAUUGUUUAAAGUCAUGCUAGACAGUCAAUCUGUUGCCGCUAAAGUCUAAACUUUUAUCUUCAUGCUUGUCCAUGGAUGUUUUACUCGGAAGGAUUGUUGUCUGUGCUCAAUGGUUUUGAUUCGUAUGAGGCAUGUCUGGCUCUACUAUUGUACAGCAGUACAACGAGUACAAUUUUGGUUCUAACGAAAUUCAUUCCCGACGUGAUUUUGCCGAUGCCAUAUACUCAUCGGUUUGUGAUAUCUCUGCAGCAGCACCACCACCAACUCGAUGCCGGCAGAGGAGGAGCGAGGGGCCAUCCUCCUUCCUUCUCUCUCGGGAACGGCGCCCAGCAUCAAGGUUAAGGUCUCCCUUGUCCUCGACGCCUCCCUCUACCUCGAUUCUCUAGGCUUAGCCUGAACUUGUUUGAUUUGCCACUGGUCUGCAUUUUUUUACUUCUGCGCUUGACUGGAUGAGGGGCGCCUUGAUCCAUCCGUUGGCGAAGGCGAUCGCCUUCAAGAUUAGAAGGGGAAACCAUCGCUCACUGUACAUACACUUUAGAAGGAAAUCACAAGUGCAUUUUCUAUACAAAACCAUUAUGUGGUCAUCUAUCUUACAAACUAUUCACACCAGAUUCGUAUGGAAUAGCACUCAUGGAGGCAGUUGAACUAAGCUAUCUAUGCCUAACUAUCACUUCAUAGUUUUAUCGCCUCCAUUGCCGUUGUGGUGGUUUUUGCUCUCUUAUGUUCCUGCUCGUAUAACUGAACUUAAUGUGAGCUAAUUAGUUUUUGUAAUCUCGUGACUGCAUUGAACUUGAUGUUGCGCUACUUCCGGGGCGGAUUAAUUUUUACAAUCUCAUGAUUGUUGAACUCGACGAUGUUACUCUUCUGGAAUGUUUAUUCUUUCCCCUCAACCAGAAAAUCGGUUGUUGACGUUUUACAUGUGCUAAACUUCCUUCCUACUGGUGCAUCAUGAGGUUUGAUCUUCUAUCGCUUGGCCAUAUCGGUUGGGCCGGCACCCUCGUGCCAAGGCGCAUUGCCGAUCUAGUAUGGACGAUAUGGGGACGACACAGGCCAAAAGUAUUACUAGCCUGGACGCUUUAGGCUGGGACCACACCACACCUUUAUAUCGUCGCUAUAACAACGAGAUAACUACAUCUUAAAAACACUAUUUUGGAGGCUGAGCUCCAUGGAGGCUUCCAAAUGCAAAAUUCAAAAUUCAUAUAUUUACAUUUCAAAAAA